UCCAAAAAUCAGAUUUGGGAAGCCACAUACCGAUAAUCUAAUUCAAUUUUUUCUCUCACUGAUCCACCUGCCUGCAUAACCAACAAAGAACUUCAAAUCCUGAGACUUUAGCACUUUUUUCCUUGCUAGAUUUGCAACUUCGUUUAAACUGUUUUGAGCACAAAAAAAAGAGGCCAAGAAUCACCUCUUCAAACUUAGAUAUGAAGCCUAUGUCGACCUCUGCUCCUUCAUCUAUACCAAUUUCUUAUGAUAGCUACCAUGGUACUAGCAAAAAGAUUAACAUUCCAUAAAUUAGGCUUGGUGUUAUAAUUGGGAAAACCGAAAAAAACCAUCAAAUAUCUUCAACUAUAAUCUAGGGCAAAGAUUCAGGUUCAGGGAGAUAUGGAUGCAGACCCAAAUUUUGUGGCUAGGCUUGUGGAGCUCAUGGGUACUACGAAACAAAUUGCUAAAACAGAGCAGUUGAUAAACGAUGUUCUUGUUGAGCUGAAACAGGGGGUUCUGGCAUGGUUUCUCAAAGAUCGACGAGACAAGUUGCAAGUGAACAUUUUGAAAUGAAGAUUCUGAAUAAUAAGGUUGGUUUGGAAUUGGUAAAGGUGGUGAAACAAUUAAAAAUAUGAAAGCUAGAAUUGGAGCUCGUAUUCAGGUUUGAAUCGUGAUACCAUUGCACUUGCCCCCAAGUGAUCCAUCAAUAGAAAGGUCAUUUCACAUAGAUGGGACAAGUGAAUAGAUUCAAAAUGGAAAAGAAUUGGUUGAUGAGGUCAUAAGUGAGGUAUGUUUGGAUGUGAAUGUUGGGAGGAAAGCUUUUCUUCAGUUUAACUUAUUUCUGUCUCUAGUUUUUUACAUGAAUCGCUUUUAGUUGUUUUGUACCUUUAUUUUGUAUGCCUACUCCUAUAGGACCUAUUUAGUUCAAUUUUGAAUGUUGAUUUUUGGUGAUCUUCUGGAGCAUCACUCUAGUCUGUAGAACAUUAGUAA